AAGGCAGGAAGAUUAGAAGAAAGGUCAUAGACUUCAUGUAUUUCAUGCCAAGUGUGGCUUGGGACCUAGCUGACACCAUCUGAAUGAGGCAACCAGGAAACAGGAGCCAGUGCUGGAGGGGAGGUUACUGGGUAAAAUACUGACUUGGAAGAUCAGGCCUGGAUGAGCCAAAUAUUAGGUACUGAGAAGCAGCUGGACGAGGAGUGAAGUCUUCAGGAAGAACAAGCACAUUCUGGAACACAAACCAAACAAAAUAACCUGGAAAACGGGAAAGAAGGAACUCAGGAAUUGAUCUAGACAUCCUGAGAAGGAAUAUGUAGAUUCUCUGACCAAAAGCAUGGAUACAGGAAAGAAAGCAGUAUAUGCUGGGAAAGGAGACAGAACUGCAAGACAGAGCAGAUGAGACUGGGUAUGGAGGGAUACAAGCAGGUUGUAGAACGAUCUGUGUCUGUUAAAACAUACUUGUCUCCAGAGUGUGGAAGGGAGCCAAGGAGUCAAGCCUUCCUCUGAAACCAGCCACUGUCCCUACGUGGCUCACCCACAGAACUGUUUCAGUCAGCAGGGGUUUUGGCCAUCAUUACACCAGUAAUGAGUCAAGAGAACAUACAAUCUGUUCCAUGGCUCAGCCAGAACCAUGAGGCAAACCCUGUCAGUCCCACCUCCUAGCCCAUGCAAUGGGAUGCAGGUGUGAAGAGGAGAAGACAUGCUGCGGACAUGCAUCCAUCAGCCCAAGGAACGUCUGAAACAUCCCACUGCUCAGACCCAGGCUCCAGAAACAUGCUGUGCUCUUGCACAUGAUUCAGACAUACCAAGUGCUUGCAGCAAGACAGCAGCUCAGAAGUGCUGCUCUGUCAGUGCCAGCAGAGCAACCAGCCCUGGAAACAGUGAGUGAAAUCUGCUCCGUGGGGAAGGGCAGAGCAGCACUGCUACCUUCAUUGGCUAUCAGCGGUCAAAAGGUGGUAGACAUGCCAUGGCCCAAGUGUCCCUGGCUCAUUACUGAUGAAGCAGCACCUUGGGUGCCUUAUAGAUCAAUUAGGAAUAUUAUACAAACUGCUUUACAGGUGUUGCUGAACAUGCUGCAGUGUUCCAAAAACACACAGGCUGGUUUCCACAGGAAAACGUUUUAACUGCGCAAGUAGUAAGCAUUUUGUAAAACUGCUAGUGGAUGCAGCCAGCAUUGCUGAUGUGAUCACAUAAAACAUUGAUGGUAACAGUUUUAUUUAAAAAAAAUGUAGUGCAAAUCAAUUAGAAAAUUAAAAACCUAUAGUUCAAAAUUACAAAGGGAUGCCUACUUUUAUAUGCAAAAAGUACCCAUAUAACCAAAAAAUGGAUGAGACUGAAUUUUUAAGAGGCUAUUACAAAACCAACAAGUAACAGCUACAGUAGAGGCUGGCCAUUUUAUGGUGUUUGAGGGAUUUACUUACAUCCUGUUUUAGACCAUUUCUGAUUUUGACUAUAUUUUUCAGGUUAUUAGCAGAUAUAUCCUCAAGGAAAAUCAUUGCUUUAUUGAAUGGACCUGAAAUCAAAACACAAAUCCAGGAGAGUGGAUACCUAUGCAGAAGGCAAACAAAUGGAGUGGUGGGAAGAGUUUUAUUUCAAUUUCCAAGCAACAACCAGGGCUCUUUUGAUAGAAACUUAAAUCAGUGGGAGCCUGUGCUCUUCUGCUGUGACUUUGGGGAUGUCUGGGCAUGGAUCAAACUUCUAUAGACACUGUUAUACAUGGGGUCUGAGCAGGGGGAGGAAUAAAAGGUGGUGGGUGGCUGGUGAGGGAAAGAAGGGGCAGCAGCCACAUCCACCAGCCUUUCUGAGCUUGCUGCCUCCCAGUGACCAGUCCCUUGGGUAAAACACCAGAGAGGACGCAGCAGCCCCAGUUCUGCACUCAACCACCUGGUCAGUCUAGGUGAUGGACCACAUGGGUACUGACACCCAUCUCUCUACAGGCUGGGCUGAAGUCCUAGAAGGCCAGGACAUGUGACAGCUAGAUUUUAAACAGCUUGGUUUACACUGUGCAUAUACAUAUGUGUUUUUUUUCAGGGUAAACACUUUAGCUAUAUAAUGAUUUGGCUGAUAGAAAAUGAGGAUCAGAUACUGAGCCAUUACCCACACGGCCAGUUUCCGAUCUUCUUUGCUCAGCACUUUGCACUUUAUUUGAUGAGCUACCCUAUUUAAAUGAAGUAGGGCUGUUGUUCAAGAAACAAGACUUGAUGCACUGUAUGAAUAAAGAUGGAAGAAUUUAGGAAGAAAUUAACAGCUAUCAACAGUAUAAGUUAUUUUGAACUCCUCAUUGCCUAAAUGAAAGCUAAAUAAUGCAGUGUUUGGGAGCACACAGCACACACAGCAAAACUCUAAUUCUUAAUUGCUGCAUUUUCUUCAAGGCUCAUAUGCAACGAUUGGAUAUACAUUAAACCAUUAAACUACUGCUUCAAAUAUAUUACAGAAAAGCAAAUCUCUCUUUUUUUUUUUUUUUUUAAGUUUUCCUCGUGGAUUCCCAGCCUUUGAAAUUCUGAAGCUGACAGAAAGAAAGGACAGAGAGAACAUGCAAUUUUUAAAAGGAUUUGGGGUUCAAUUAGCUGUAGAAGCUUCAAUGUGAGUCUAAUGCCAUUCCCACCUUGGACUCCCACUGCCUAAUUUCAUUGUCUGAUCAAAUGGGCAGAGGCUAUAUAAUUUUACGGUUUGUAGCCUAGUAAAAACAAAGAUCAAAUAACUCUUUCAAAGCUGUGAAUGCUCUCCAGUGAACUUCUUUUCUGGAGUCUGCUCUGAGGGGAGGUAAGUUAUAAUGAAGCAAAUAAGGAUGCUCAAUACUUUGCAGAAUUGAGUGCUGGGCUCCAGUCCUGUCCCCAGCAAACAUUUUAAUGGCAGCAGGAUUGAGCUGUGGAGUGGAGAACUAAGGUAAUUUUCAUUAGUUAAAUGCUAAUUACCCUGACAGUACACAUAGCAUGUAACAAGGCUGGGAGGAGUCAGGCUUAUCACUGAAUAGCAGCCAUCAAUGCAGUCUGGCUUGAGGGAGAGAAACAAACUGUGCAUGUAACCUCCAGGUGAUGCUCUGCCUCCUGCAAUAAACCUCUCCUGAUCGGCCCUCAGAAGAGCAGUUCCAACUCACUUGCCCUUUGGGAUGCUUGCAUCAGAGCCUUGGGUUAACAUAAAGGGCUGGUAAUAAAGUAAAUAAGAUGAGCUACUUCCCACAGAGGACUGAGUCACAAAGAAAAACGAAAACAAAAAGAAAAGCUAUAAAAUCAGAGGUUCUUGUUUUGUUGUUUGUUUUGUUUUGUUUUGUUCCUGUUUUGUGUCAUUUUUGAGGAGAAAAUAGAAAAUAAAGCAGGAUGAGGGAAGCAAAGACAUUUCCUGUCACGAAUGCUUGAAUGCUGUGCACAUGAUCUCAUUGGUAAUGGGUCAAUGCCACCUGGUGUGCCUUGGGCAAGAUGACUGUGAUAUAUAAAAUACUUUUAGUGGCUGUUGACAUUGCAGAAAGCUUUUAUUUCCCUCUGUCCCUCUGUCUUUUUUUUUUUUUUUUUAACUGCAUCUGUGUCUCCAUCUUAAGCCUAUAAACUUCAUAACAAUCGGUUGAACUAGUGAUUGCAUAUUACACCAUUUACCACACAUAGACAAUCAACAUUUGUCACACUGUUAAUAAAAUUAGGUGAAAAUUUAAGCACAAAUAAGGACAUUGGUGACACAUUGCUGUCAGAGACUGGUUCCAGUGAAUCCUCUGGGGCUCAGAGCCAUCAGUUCAUACUCAAGCCACCCAAAAUCAACAGAAAGGUUCCCUUCUGCACCAGGGAGGAUAUAGUAAGUGGCAUAACAAAAAAGAGGUUGUAUUUGCUUUCAUUAUCUCAUUCAUCAAGCAUUUUGGAAAAAAAAAAUAAAAAAAAUAAAAUAAAAAAA